ACUGAGUGGCGGACGGGUGAGUAACGCGUGGGUAACCUGCCUUGUACUGGGGGACAACAGUUAGAAAUGACUGCUAAUACCGCAUAAGACCACAGCACCGCAUGGUGUAGGGGUAAAAACUCCGGUGGUAUGAGAUGGACCCGCGUCUGAUUAGGUAGUUGGUGGGGUAACGGCCUACCAAGCCGACGAUCAGUAGCCGACCUGAGAGGGUGACCGGCCACAUUGGGACUGAGACACGGCCCAA
rnacentral:rRNA from 1 species